rnacentral:lncRNA from 1 species
CAGUGCUUACCCUGUUCUUUGGUAACUUGUGAUGUACAUCAUGAUCAUGCCCUGUUACUGUCAUAACUCAAAAUCCAGGUAACUUUUUUCCAUACAAACAGGAUAUCAAGUCUGCAAAAGAAAUGUACUUUCCCAGUUGGAACAGGAAGAAGUGUCAAGAGAAGUAGUUUUUCCUCAAUACCAGAAUCCAGGGAGGA